rnacentral:rRNA from 1 species
GACGGGGGCCCGCCACAAGCGGUGGAGCACGUGGUUUAAUUCGAUGCAAACCGAAGAACCUUACCUGGGUUUGACAUACAGGUGGUAGAGCGAAGAGAUUCAAUCGACUCUGCAGUAAUGCAGAGAGCCUGCACAGGUGCUGCAUGGCUGUCGUCAGCUCGUGUCGUGAGAUGUUGGGUUAAGUCCCGCAACGAGCGCAACCCUUAUCUUUAGUUGCCAUCAGUUCGGCUGGGCACUCUAUGGAGACUGCCACCUAAAGUGGAGGAAGGUGGGGAUGACGUCAAGUCAGCAUGGCCCUUACGUCCGGGGCUACACACGUGCUACAAUGGCCGGUACAAAGGGUUGCGAAGCCGUGAGGUGGAGCGAAUCUCAAAAAGCCGGCCUCAGUUCGGAUUGGAGGCUGCAACUCGCCUCCAUGAAGUCGGAAUCGCUAGUAACCGCAGAUCAGCUACGUUGCGGUGAAUACGUUCCCGGGCCUU